rnacentral:rRNA from 1 species
AUUGAACGCUGGCGGCAGGCUUAACACAUGCAAGUCGAGCGAGCGGCGGACGGGUGAGUAAUGUCUGGGAAACUGCCUGAUGGAGGGGGAUAACUACUGGAAACGGUAGCUAAUACCGCAUACCAUCAGAUGUGCCCAGAUGGGAUUAGCUAGUAGGUGGGGUAAUGGCUCACCUAGGCGACGAUCCCUAGCUGGUCUGAGAGGAUGACCAGCAACAAUGGAACUGGGACACGGGCCAGACUACUACGGGAGGCAGCAGUGGGGAAUAUGGCACAAUGGGCGAAAGACUGAUGCAGCCAUGACGCGUGUGUGAAGAAGGUCUUCGGGUUGUAAAGCACUUUCAGCGAGGAGGCGUUACUCGCAGAAGAAGCACCGGCUAACUCCGUGCCAGCAGCCGCGGUAAUUC